UUUAUCCCUAAUUGUCUUUCCUGAACCCUAAUGAUCUUUCCUGCCGUUUCUUCUUCUUCUUCUUCUUCUUCUUCUUCUUCUUUUUAAUUAAUUUUCUGAAAGAAUUUACAGCUCAAUGAAAUUUCAAUGGUACCUCUAAAAUUUUUUCCUUUAUUAUCUUUUCACAUCUUUUCAAAUUUUGCAUGAAUUGCUAAAUUAUAUACAUAUAGAUAGCAAUUGGAGCUCUUUCUUGAUGCAUAUGAAAGAGUGGCGUAAAUGGCAUAUCCACAAGCUCAAACUUAUGGCAGCUUAAACCAUUCAAAUAUUAGAAACUUUCUUGUGAGCUCCUAAUCUUCUCUCCUCAAAGUUGAAUGGUAUAUAAAAGAUCAUUACCAGCAUAUUUAUCAUUAUACAUUUACUCUCAUAUUUACUAUAUAAAAUUUUAAUAUUUGAAUCACAAAUUUGUUGAAGCGAUGUGAUGCAAGUGUGACUGAGAAAAGAUAGUAAUUGAGAACAUAUUUAAAUGUUAAUUUCAUUUCCUUCCCUUCAGUUUCGGUAAAAUACAACUAUUCAAUAUUAGUCUUAAAUCUUACCCUUCUUCAUUGUUAUUUUCUUUCACCUCCAUUUGGUAUACCAAACAUUCCCUUAACUAACUUGGUUUAGUUAUUUCACAUCAAGGCUGCAACCAAAGAAUCUAGGGGAUUUUGGGAAGUAAAAAUUGAAUUUGGGCUAGCUUUGAACAUAGUAACUACUUAGUUGUUUGAGCAUGCCAUAUGGUAUUGGCCGGAAGUGAUUUGAACAUGUUAUAUGGUAAUGGUAUUCUCUAGGCCUCUUAUUGAGAACCAUUAAGAAACUUUACUUUAGCUUUACGAGUCUAUGAACUGUUGGUUCCUGCUCAACACGUACCCUCUGGGCAGCUACUCCAGCCCCUCUGCUCUCCUAUAUUCUGUUAAAAAAAGGCAUUUCUGGAUGUGUUUCGGACAGACCUCUCUAAUGGCCAAGUUAGCUUAAAGGAUUUUUACUGAAUGAAUUCUUUAAUUGGCAGAACAUCUUAGCAAGAUGCAUGGUGAAAUACUACCGUACGUGUGGAUCUAAUGGUCAAUUAAUGUCUGGAUAAUUUCAUCUUUGAAACACCAUAGAUAUUCCGAGAAAUUGAACAAAUAAAAAGUCAUUGAUGAAAAUGCAUUAGUUUCUUCCUGUAUUUCAUUGAUCUUCAUUUCCUACGAUUACUUCCAAGCAGGUUUGUUCCAACAAAGACAAACAAGAGAAUGAGGCAAAUUAGCAAUGAAGUCAAUGCAUUGUUAAAAGGCAGCAUUGAGAGAAGAGAGAAGGCAAUGAAGGUUGGCGAAAUGCGAGAACAUGAUGAAAGGAAGAAUGUUGGAAUGAGUAACAAGGAUGUCAUCAAGGAGUGUAAGCUUUUCUACUUCGCUGGCCAAGAGACUAC
rnacentral:lncRNA from 1 species